UACGUAGGGUGCAAGCGUUGUCCGGAAUUAUUGGGCGUAAAGAGCUCGUAGGCGGCUUUGCAAGUCGGGUGUGAAAUCCCCAGGCUUAACCUGGGAACUGCAUUCGAGACUGCAUUGCUAGAGUAUGGGAGAGGGAAGUGGAAUUUCCGGUGUAGCGGUGAAAUGCGUAGAUAUCGGAAGGAACAUCAGUGGCGAAAGCGACUUCCUGGACCAAUACUGACGCUCAUGUGCGAAAGCGUGGGGAGCAAACAGGG
rnacentral:rRNA from 1 species